rnacentral:rRNA from 1 species
GAUGAACGCUGGCGGCGUGCCUAAUACAUGCAAGUCGAGCGAACAGACGAGGAGCUUGCUCCUCUGACGUUAGCGGCGGACGGGUGAGUAACACGUGGAUAACCUACCUAUAAGACUGGGAUAACUUCGGGAAACCGGAGCUAAUACCGGAUAAUAUAUUGAACCGCAUGGUUCAAUAGUGAAAGACGGUUUUGCUGUCACUUAUAGAUGGAUCCGCGCCGCAUUAGCUAGUUGGUAAGGUAACGGCUUACCAAGGCAACGAUGCGUAACCGACCUGAGAGGGUGAUCGGCCACACUGGAACUGAGACACGGUCCAGACUCCUACGGGAGGCAGCAGUAGGGAAUCUUCCGCAAUGGGCGAAAGCUUGACGGAGCAACGCCGCGUGAGUGAUGAAGGUCUUCGGAUCGUAAAACUCUGUUAUUAGGGAAGAACAAAUGUGUAAGUAACUAUGCACGUCUUGACGGUACCUAAUCAGAAAGCCACGGCUAACUACGUG